CAAAAACAUGUCCUUUUGAAUUUAAUUUAAGGUCUGACCUGCCCAGUGAAUAAUUUUAACGGCCGCGGUAUACUGACCGUGCAAAGGUAGCAUAAUCAUUAGUCUUUUAAUAGAGGGCUGGAAUGAAAGGUUUGACGAGGAAUUGGCUGUCUCAUUUUAUUUGUUUUAAAAUUUAAUUUUUUAGUCAAAAAGCUAAAAUUUUAUUGGAAGACGAGAAGACCCUAUAGAUCUUUAUAAAUUUUAUUUAAUUAAUAUUAUAUUAAUAUGUUACAUUAAUUAUUUAUUUUGUUGGGGUGACAAGAAUAAAAUAUAACUUUUUUAUUUAUUUUUCAUUGAUUUAUGUUUAUUAGAUCCAUUAUUAUUGAUUAUUAGACUAAGUUACCUUAGGGAUAACAGCGUAAUCCUCCUCCAGAGCUCAUAUUUACAGGAAGGGCUUGCGACCUCGAUGUUGGAUUAAGAUUAUAAUUAGGUGUAGCCGCUUAAUAUAUAGGUCUGUUCGACCUUUAAAUUCUUACAUGAUCUGAG
rnacentral:rRNA from 1 species